rnacentral:rRNA from 1 species
CCUACGGGUGGCAGCAGUGGGGAAUCUUGCACAAUGGGCGAAAGCCUGAUGCAGCGACACCGCGUGAGGGAUGAAGGCCUUCGGGUUGUAAACCUCUUUCGGCAGGGACGAAGCGAAAGUGACGGUACCUGCAGAAGAAGGUCCGGCUAACUACGUGCCAGCAGCCGCGGUAAGACGUAGGGACCGAGCGUUGUCCGGAUUUAUUGGGCGUAAAGCGCGCGCAGGCGGCUACGCAAGUCGGGUGUGAAAAUCUGGGGCNCAACCCCGGACCUGCACUCGAUACUGCGUGGCUAGAGGCAGGUAGGGGAGAUCGGAAUUCCUGGUGUAGCGGUGAAAUGCGCAGAUAUCAGGAGGAACACCGGUGGCGAAGGCGGAUCUCUGGGCCUGUCCUGACGCUGAGGUGCGAAAGCUAGGGGAGCGAACAGGAUUAGAUACCCUGGUANUC